CCUACGGGUGGCAGCAGUGGGGAAUAUUGCACAAUGGGGGGAACCCUGAUGCAGCGACGCCGCGUGAGUGAAGAAGUAUCUCGGUAUGUAAAGCUCUAUCAGCAGGGAAGAAAAUGACGGUACCUGACUAAGAAGCCCAGGCCAACUACGUGAAAGCAGCCGCGGUAAUACGCAGGGGGCAAGCGUUAUCCGGAUUUACUGGGUGUAAAGGGAGCGUAGGCGGCUGGGCAAGUCAGGAGUGAAAGCCUGUGGCCCAACCGCAAAACUGCUUUGGAAACUGUCAGGCUUGAGUACAGGAGAGGUAAGCGGAAUUCGUGGUGUAGCGGUGAAAUGCUUAGAUAUUAGGAGGAACUCCGAUUGCGAAGGCAGCUUACUGGACUGUAACUGACAUUGAGGCUCGAAAGCGUGGGGAGCAAACAGGAUUAGAUACCCGAGUAGUC
rnacentral:rRNA from 1 species